ACUUUUUUCAGCCCUCUGGGUAGUCCUUUUGUGCAUAUGGACUACUUAGAGGGCUGAAAAAGUUAUUUUUGACCGGUCCUCACACUUUUGUCCAGCCCUUGAACUUACGACUGUCCUCACAUUUUACGUUUUGCGCCCUAUCUUGUCACCGUGGUGAAGAGAAAUGACUGACACAGUUGUUAAGAAUGCCGCAACGGGCAUAAAUGUGAGGAUGGUCAUAAGUGCGAGGACCAGUCAGAAAUGACUUUUUUCAGCCCUCUGAGUAGUCCCUAUGCACAUAGCCACGCCCACCCGGUCACAUGACCAGCUAGCCACGCCCACCCGGUCACAUGACCACCAAGCCACACCCCCAACUAAGCCACGCCCACAGAACCGGUUGUUAAAAAAAUUGAAUCCCACCACUGGUUCUAUACCAAUACUACACAGGUAAAAUAUUAAACAUUUUUCUUUGUUUAGCUAAGUUUCCAUCUUUUUUUUCUUUCUGUUAAUAUCUUUUAAUCUCCACUAAUAUAGAUUUUUUACUCCCGUAUAACCAUUAGUGAGUUCUUUUCGGUCCAUGUGGUAAUUUGAAUUAGACUGUUAAAAUAAUUUUAAAAAAUAAAAUAUUUUUAAAAAUAAAUCCAAAUUUACAGAUUAUCCUAAUGGUCUGGUUAUUGACACAUGCUGCUUGUCAACUUGAAAUGAUAAAAUAUAGGGCAGUAAUCAUUGAUCAUUUGUAGCAUUUGUUUCAGAGCCACUGAUUGACAUAUCAAUACCAUUCCCAUACAAAUCUCUAAUAUUCCUAGCAUUUCUUUCUCCUCGUUUUCAUCCUGAAUCAUCUCAUCGCUUUUAAUACCAUUCAUUCUGCCAGAGACUUGCUCAGUCCUCUUCACCAAUUUACUUUGAACAAAAUAGUUUUGAAUUUUCUCUGCCUCUGUUAAUCUUUACCGUUCCUUACUCUCUUUAAUUACAAGCUUUGCAACCAUCUUUUUGUCUCUACAGACAUCAUUCCUAAUUUUUCUUCCAGGAUUUAUUAGAGGAAUCAAUACCGACACAUUUGUCCACUAUGCCACGUGUUCAUGCUGUUCUAGGCAAGCUAGGCUCCAUAACCUAAACUCUUCCAUGCAAGCCCCCAUCCUGUGAACUAGGUAGCAUAUAGGUUGUACUGACACGACAGAGUAUUGCCAAGUGCGUUAUGGAAUGUAAGAAUACAGAGCCAUUUUCCAACGGUUAUUUCAUGUUUAGAAACAGUCCUAUGGUUCCAGUGCUAUAAAUUAUGGAUAUCAAAAAGCAUGUGGCAAAGUCAUUACAGGAGAGUGGUGUUCAUAUCAACCUGUACAUCUUGCAAAUAAUUAACCUCCCUUUUAUCAGCCUCUUAAUCUGCUUCACUGAAAUGUGUUUUAAGCAAUACAGAUCCUCCGUUGUCCCAAAUUGUUAAGAACUAGAAUGCUAAUGUUGGCUAGAGAUAAGCAAAGUUUUGAACAUAUUGAGGGAAAACUGGUUUAUUUGGAAUUAUUGGAAUUGUUAACUGGUUUAGCACAAUUACUGCUAAAGGUGCUUCAUCAGUGGUGAGUUGCUCCCGGUUCUGUCCGGUUCUAUAGAACCGGUAGUAAAACCGGCGGGAGGCUCCGCCCACCCGCCAAAACGUCAUCAUGAGUGAUCUGCGCAGAAGCUCCGGCUGUGAACUGGUAGUAAAGGUAAGUGGAACCCACCCCUGUGCUACAUGACAUAGGGAGAUUUUAAUUUUUCUCUGAUGACAGUGAAAUAUUGGGCAUAAAGUGCACAGAGAUCAAAACAGACUUUCAUUUUCUACUUAGCACUGAAGAUGUUCAGGGUUAGACCAAAUAGAAUCUUAGACUCCUUUCAACAUUAUGUAGAGUUGCAAAGUAAUUCUUAUUUUCCUUAAACUGAUCUAUGAGGAAUCUGGGGUAGUAGAUUUGUCACCCAUAUUAUAUAAAGCAUUGUAAUCCAGAGCUGCAGAGAACUAAGAUUUUGGGAAAUUCAAUGACAUAUUUAGCAGAGAACUCAAAUAAUAAAACCUGCAAAAAGCCAAUAGUUCCAUAAGCCUUCUUUAAACAACCGAGAAUCGCCUUUAUUUUUUGCUAUCAUCAGAUUUUGCAUUUCUUUUUUUCCCCAGCCUUUCAAAUGACUUUCUAAUCUGAAAGUGAUAAUUAACACCGUCUGGUGUAUGGUAUAUCAAAUAGCAUACUGUAUUGUUGCAUUUAUAAAUAUUUUACUUCAGAAUUAAUACUGAACAGCCAGUACAUUGACAUUUUGCUGUUAGUUUUUAACUCAUUUCUAUGUGGAAUAUAAAUAUAGUAUUCUUUUCUAAAGCGCCUUACAUCAUAACUUUCCUUGAUACUCAUUCUGCUUCUAGUGAGAAGUCGAUUUUACGUGGUGUGUUAUUUCCUUCACUGUGGGAGAUGUGUUGAUUAGGUUCUUGCUUCAUUUCACUUGAUUUCUGGAAAAAAUCGAGUACCUCUUGGCAGAAAUAUUCAUCAGGAAAUCCACCAGAGAAAGAAAAUGCAGGACAUUCCAGCUUGAAUGCUUCAGGGAGCUCACUGGAACUUGCAAGAGUUUCAUCGGAAUUAGAGGAGAUAUAAUUAUUAAUGCUGAUGCCUUUGAUCAAAUCUUUGAAAUAUUGCCCAAUAGAAAUAUGACAGCCAUUUGUAUCUUGUUGUAUGUGCUUUCCUUCUGUAAGUUUCUCUAACUUGCUUCUAAAUAUUUUAUCUUCUUGAAGAAAACGCACUGAAGUGGUAUGCUGUUCCAAAAAGGCUUUCAUUUGAUGAUAAAGGGUCUUGCGGAAAAAUCAGGUGGAACAACAACUGAUGACUUCCUUUUACCGGUCUACGAUAGAAAGUGCCCUUACAUAUUGUGUUACAGUAUGGUAUGCUGGCUUGACAGUCGUGGACAGAAAGGCAUUACAGAGGGUGAUGAGCACAGCACAAACAAUUAUGGCCUGUCCCCUGACACCACUGGAUGAAAUCGCCAGGACCCACUGCCUCAACAGAGUGAGGAAAAUCCUCAGGGAUGAGUCACACCCUGGUCAGCACUUCUUUACUUUCCUACCAUCGGGCAGGAGAUAUAGAAGCACAGCCAGCCGAACGAACAGGCUGAAAAAUAGCUUUUAUCCGUGGGCUGUCAGACUUCCGAAUGCUACGUAACACCACAAUUAGGUUUAAUAUGAUAGACUUGCAGGGCCAGCGCAACGUGCAACGUGUUCAUACCGAUGUAAUAUAAUAUAAUGUUACAUACUGUACAUAUAAGUAUAAGGGGAUUGUGUUAGUUAUUACUUAUUUGAGUUUAGGGAUUCUAUUUCUUUCAUUUAUUGAGUUAUUGAGAUGUAUUUUGGGGGGGGGGGGGGGGAGGCUGCACCAAGGGAGUCUCAUUCAAUUUCAUUGUACACAUAUUGUGCAUUGACAAUAAAGGUUUGGUUUGGUUUGGUUUGA